rfam:Globicatella sp. HMSC072A10 Globicatella_spHMPREF2811-1.0_Cont187.1, whole genome shotgun sequence.
CUCCAAUAUAAGACCGAAGUGAGUAGUAGAAUCUGAUGGGAAGCAGAGCGAGACAAGGUGAGAGCCCUGUAUACGAAACUGACUGAAGCUUUAGGAGUAUCCUGAGUACGGCGGGACACGAGGAAUCCCGUUGGAAUCCGCCAGGACCAUCUGGCAAGGCUAAAUACUCCCUAGUGACCGAUAGUGAACCAGUACCGUGAGGGAAAGGUGAAAAGCACCCCUGGAGGGGAGUGAAAGAGUACCUGAAACCGUGUGCCUACAAGUAAUCAGAGCCCGUUAAGGGGUGAUGGUGUACCUUUUGUAGAAUGGACCGGCGAGUGACGAUACCAUGCGAGGUUAAGUUGAAGAAACGGAGCCGUAGCGAAAGCGAGUCUGAAUAGGGCGAGAGUAUGUUGUUGUCGACCCGAAACCAAGUGACCUACCCAUGAGCAGGUUGAAGGUGUGGUAAGACACACUGGAGGACCGAACCAGGACACGUUGAAAAGUGUUUGGAUGACUUGUGGGUAGCGGAGAAAUUCCAAUCGAACUUGGAGAUAGCUGGUUCUCUCCGAAAUAUAUUUAGGUAUAGCCUCAGAGUAAGAGUCAUGGAGGUAGAGCACUGUUUGAACGAGGGGGACGCAAGUUUUACCGAAUUCAGAUAAACUCCGAAUGCCAAGGACUCAUCUCUGGGAGUCAGACUGCGAGUGAUAAGAUCCGUAGUCGAAAGGGAAACAGCCCAGCCCACCAGCUAAGGUCCCCAAGUAAUUGUUAAGUGGAAAAGGAUGUGGAGUUGCACAGACAGCUAGGAUGUUGGCUUAGAAGCAGCCAUCAUUUAAAGAGUGCGUAAUAGCUCACUAGUCGAGUGAUUCUGCGCCGAAAAUGUACCGGGGCUAAACAAUACACCGAAGCUGUGGAUUCUAGUUUAAGACUAGAGUGGUAGGAGAGCGUUCUAUAUGCGGCGAAGGCAUACCGUGAGGAGUGUUGGAGCGUAUAGAAGUGAGAAUGCCGGUAUGAGUAGCGCAAGACGGGUGAGAAUCCCGUCCACCGAUAGACUAAGGUUUCCAGGGGAAGGCUCGUCCGCCCUGGGUUAGUCGGGACCUAAGCCCAAGCCGACAGGCGUAAGCGAUGGACAACAGGUAGAGAUUCCUGUACUUGAUGUUAUCGAUUGAGUGAAGGAGGGACACAGGAGGUGACUCCACGCAUCCGGAUGGAAGAGGAUGUGCAAGCAGUGAGUUUUAGUAAGAGUGAAAUGCUUUUACUUAAAAGGAUGAGCUGUUAAGCGUAGCGAAUAAAGUAGCGAAGGUGGAUAAUCAAACUGUCGAGAAAAGCUUCUAGCGAGAUAACAUGAACCCGUACCGCAAACCGACACAGGUAGUCAAGUGGAGAACACUAAGGUGAUCGAGAGAACUCUCGUUAAGGAACUCGGCAAAAUGACCCCGUAACUUCGGGAGAAGGGGUGCUGGUAGGAAUACCAGCCGCAGUGAAUAGGCCCAGGCGACUGUUUAUCAAAAACACAGGUCUCUGCCAAAUCGAAAGAUGACGUAUAGGGGCUGACGCCUGCCCGGUGCUGGAAGGUUAAGAGGAGAGGUUAGCGCAAGCGACGCUUCGAAUUGAAGCCCCAGUAAACGGCGGCCGUAACUAUAACGGUCCUAAGGUAGCGAAAUUCCUUGUCGGGUAAGUUCCGACCCGCACGAAAGGCGUAACGAUCUGGGCACUGUCUCAACGAGAGACUCGGUGAAAUUAUAGUACCUGUGAAGAUGCAGGUUACCCGCGACAGGACGGAAAGACCCCAUGGAGCUUUACUGUAACUUGAUAUUGAGUGUUUGUGUGACAUGUACAGGAUAGGUAGGAGCUUAUGAAUCGUGAACGCCAGUUUACGAGGAGGCGCUGGUGGGAUACUACCCUUGUGAUAUGAACCCUCUAACCCGCGUUGUGAGGCAACGGGAGACAGUGUCAGGUGGACAGUUUGACUGGGGCGGUCGCCUCCUAAAGUGUAACGGAGGCGCCCAAAGGUUCCCUCAGAAUGGUUGGAAAUCAUUCGUAGAGUGCAAAGGCAGAAGGGAGCUUGACUGCGAGACCUACAAGUCGAGCAGGGACGAAAGUCGGGCUUAGUGAUCCGGUGGUACCGUAUGGAAGGGCCAUCGCUCAACGGAUAAAAGCUACCCUGGGGAUAACAGGCUUAUCUCCCCCAAGAGUUCACAUCGACGGGGAGGUUUGGCACCUCGAUGUCGGCUCAUCGCAUCCUGGGGCUGAAGUCGGUCCCAAGGGUUGGGCUGUUCGCCCAUUAAAGCGGUACGCGAGCUGGGUUCAGAACGUCGUGAGACAGUUCGGUCCCUAUCCGUCGCGGGCGUAGGAAAUUUGAGAAGAGCUAUCCUUAGUACGAGAGGACCGGGAUGGACGCACCGCUGGUGUACCAGUUGUUCCGCCAGGAGCAUCGCUGGGUAGCUAUGUGUGGGAAGGAUAAGCGCUGAAAGCAUCUAAGCGCGAAGCCAGCUUCAAGAUGAGAUUUCCCAUUCGAAAGAAGUAAGACCCCUGAGAGACGAUCAGGUAGAUAGGCUAGAAGUGGAAGUAUAGUGAUAUAUGGAGCGGACUAGUACUAAUCGGUCGAGGACUUAACCAC